GCCAGCCGCCGCGGUAACACCGGCGGCCCGAGUGGUGAUCGUGAUUAUUGGGUCUAAAGGGUCCGUAGCCGGUUUGGUCAGUCCUCCGGGAAAUCUGAUAGCUCAACUAUUAGGCUUUCGGGGGAUACUGCCAGACUUGGAACCGGGAGAGGUAAGAGGUACUACAGGGGUAGGAGUGAAAUCUUGUAAUCCCUGUGGGACCACCUGUGGCGAAGGCGUCUUACCAGAACGGGUUCGACGGUGAGGGACGAAAGCUGGGGGCACGAACCGGAUUAGAUACCCGGGUAGUCCCAGCCGUAAACGAUGCUCGCUAGGUGUCAGGCAUGGCGCGACCGUGUCUGGUGCCGCAGGGAAGCCGUGAAGCGAGCCACCUGGGAAGUACGGCCGCAAGGCUGAAACUUAAAGGAAUUGGCGGGGGAGCACAACAACGGGUGGAGCCCUGCGGUUUAAUUGGACUCAACGCCGGACAACUCACCGGGGGCGACAGCAAUAUGUAGGCCAAGCUGAAGACUUUGCCUGAAUCGCUGAGGAGUGGUGCAUGG
rnacentral:rRNA from 1 species